GUGAUAAAUAAUUUUUUGAAUAUGUGGUUUAACCACUCCAGAAAUAUUAGUGCAUUAGCUUAUUACGAUAUGGAAACCGAUGCGAGAGCCCUGGAGGGAUUGUGUGCAGAGCAGAGAUCGGAUCGGAUCGGAUCGGAUCAGAUCAGGCAAACAAAAAUGGAAUAACAAAUAUUUGCCCGAAAAAUGGAAAGUCUACUUAAAGUAUGAUCUAGCCCCCAGCGAAUGUGUGCACUGAAGGAUACCCCUGCUCUCCCGCUCCCCCGCUCCCGCUCUACGCUCUAUGCGCUUUGCAAGCUGCAUUUAAAGUCUUCUACUCUCCUGCUUUAUCCCGCCCAAAAGAAAAUACUCCCCAUAUACCACAUCAAAGAGAGAAAACUAAACGGAAACCAUGUCUCUACUCCAUGAUAAUUUAAGCUUGAAUUCUUUUUUUUUAUACUGUUGUUUAUUUAACUCGUACUCGUAAUACUACUGGCGCAUUACUUCAGCAAGGCAACCAAGGAAACGUCUUUUAUAUUAUACAUGUGUAUUAUUUGAAUUCAUAAUAAUAAUUUAUACAUUUUAAUUAUUUGAUAUAUUAUAGUACUACCAUAUAAUAUGCGAACCGAAGUGAAACGAAGGAUGAGUUUUGUAAGCAUUGUAACGGCAUUGAUACAUUGAUAUAUUGAUAAUGAAGUGCAAGAGUAAUAAAUGUGUGUAUUUAUUAAAAGUUACAAUAUUCUACAA